rnacentral:lncRNA from 1 species
AGAGAGGAAGAGGGAAGGGAAAAAGCGAGGGCGCUGCGCAGCGACCGCUGCUCCGCGGGCGGCGGUGCUGGCGGCGGGCAGCGGCGGCGGCAGCUCGCUCCCCGCUAGGCGCCGGCCCCCGCCCUCCUGGGGGCCGCGCAUGCGCCCUGCGCGCCGGCUACAGCUGCUCGGCCGGCGCCGGUUUCCGCGUCUGUUGGGAGGAUGCGGGGGGGUGAGGGGGGUGCGAAGCGGGGGUGCACGCCUUCUCUUCGCCUCGUGCCGCCGCCCGCGCGCAGCGACGGUUGCGCUCUUCACAGGGCCCUCCCGCCCCCGGGAUCGGAGCUAAGGCCGCCCCGACCCGCAGGCGGCAUCGGGGUGCAACGGCCGCGGACCUCGCGUGGGGCCCAGGCCGAGGGGCUGCACGUCGGGCGGACCCGCUGCCUUCCUGCCCCGUGUGUGCGGUGCUGCGGGCUGUAGCAAAGCUCUCUGCUGGGCACAGUGGGAGAGAGUCUCGGAAAACGGGAAAAAAGGGGAUUCCCAGUAUUGGUUUCCACAAUUAAGAACAAACUCAUCGGCUCCUAUGAAAUGAUAUCUUCUGAGAGCUGAAGCAGAGGCAGAAACACUAGAUGCUACAAAGCCUUUUCCAGGUGCUAAGCAGUCCACACUCAGUGCGUACAUCUUGGGGUCUUGAAAAAUUAGAGGGCUGGACAACUACCAACCAUAUGAAGUUUAACAAGAAGACCAAGUCUAAUUCACUGCUAUUCAGGAGAAGAGCAAGACACCUGUGCAGAAGAGAAACACUGACAGCUGUGAGUAUGUCACAAUUUGCAAUUCUACUCAGAGCUUCUCAAGCUGUGAUUUCUAGACCAGUGCUUCAGCGAAGAAUGGAGAAUGAAAAUUAUCAGUGUAGUCACUAACGGAUAUAUUUCUUCUGGCUGAAUAAUUUACCUUGAAAGUGUUUGGACACCUGCUCCAGCAGGUCGCAUACCUUUCAGAGCAGUUAUUCUUAUGUCAUUGCUGUUCCUACAAAUGCUGAUGUUGGCAGCUAACCAAAAGGAGCCCAAAACACCAGCUGACGGAGACAGAGAUGGGAGGAGAUUUUCUUCUUAUAUCCUAAAGCAAUAAAUGGUGACUCAGUAUUUUCCUCUUCUCA